GCCCCUGUCGUUUAAUGGAUAGGACGCGGGAUUCCGGAUCCCGUAAUAGAGGUUCGAAUCCUCUCGGGGGUG
rnacentral:tRNA from 1 species